rnacentral:rRNA from 1 species
GAUGAACGCUGGCGGCGUGCCUGACACAUGCAAGUCGAGCGAAGCACUUACUUUAGAUUUCUUCGGAAUGACGAAGUUUGUGACUGAGCGGCGGACGGGUGAGUAACGCGUGGGCAACCUGCCCUGUACAGGGGGAUAACAGUUAGAAAUGACUGCUAAUACCGCAUAAGCCCACAGCUUCGCAUGAAGCAGUGGGAAAAACUCCGGUGGUACAGGAUGGGCCCGCGUCUGAUUAGCUAGUUGGUAAGGUAACGGCUUACCAAGGCGACGAUCAGUAGCCGACCUGAGAGGGUGACCGGCCACAUUGGGACUGAGACACGGCCCAAACUCCUACGGGAGGCAGCAGUGGGGAAUAUUGCACAAUGGGGGAAACCCUGAUGCAGCGACGCCGCGUGAGCGAUGAAGUAUUUCGGUAUGUAAAGCUCUAUCAGCAGGGAAGAAAGUGACGGUACCUGACGAAGAAGCCCCGGCUAACUACGUG